rnacentral:rRNA from 1 species
CAGCACCUCAAGUGGUCAGGAUGAUUAUUGGGCCUAAAGCGUCCGUAGCCGGCUCUGUAAGUUUUCGGUUAAAUCUGUACGCUCAACGUACAGGCUGCCGGGAAUACUGCAGAGCUAGGGAGUGGGAGAGGUAGACGGUACUCGGUAGGAAGGGGUAAAAUCCUUUGAUCUAUUGAUGACCACCUGUGGCGAAGGCGGUCUACCAGAACACGUCCGACGGUGAGGGAUGAAAGCUGGGGGAGCAAACCGGAUUAGAUACCCGUGUAGUCC